rnacentral:miRNA from 1 species
CAUCUUACCUGACAGUGCUUGG